CCCCUGAUGACAGGGAUAGCCGGUAGAAAUACCGGGUAAUACCUGAUAAAGUAUUAAGGAAUAGAGGCUUAAUAUGAAAGGAACUAUUGUUCCGCAUAAGGAACGGCUCGCGAGCCAUUAGCUGGUUGGUAAGGUAACGGCCUACCAAGGCGACGAUGGCAACCCGGCCUAAGAGGGUGAACGGGCACAUUGGGACUGAGAUACGGCCCAGACUCCUACGGGAGGCAGCAGCUAAGAAUAUUCCGCAAUGGGGGGAACCCUGACGGAGCGACACCGCGUGGAUGAAGAAGGUCGGAAGAUUGUAAAAUCCUUCUAUAACAGAAGAAUAAGGUUAUGAAGAGAAAGCAUAGCAGGUGACGGUAUGUUAUGAAUAAGAGGCGGCUAAUUACGUGCCAGCAGCCGCGGUAACACGUAAGCCUCGAGCGUUGUUCGGAAUUAUUGGGCGUAAAGGGCAUGUAGGCGGAUUAGCAAGCUUGAUGUGAAAGGCGGGGGCUCAACCCCCGGAUGGCGUUGAGAACUGCAUAACUAGAGUAUCUGAAGGGCAAUCAGAAUUCCGGGUGUAGGGGUGAAAUCUGUAGAUAUCCGGAAGAAUACCAAUGGCGAAGGCAGGUUGCCGGCAGAAGACUGACGCUGAGGUGCGAAGGUGCGGGGAGCAAACAGGAUUAGAUACCCUGGUAGUCCGCACAGUCAACGAUGUACACUGGGUGUCCGGAAGAAAAAGUCGGGUGUGGAAGCAAACGCGAUAAGUGUACCGCCUGGGGAGUAUGCCCGCAAGGGUGCAAGGGAAAGGAAUUGAC
rnacentral:rRNA from 1 species